rnacentral:tRNA from 1 species
AAGGACUUAGCUUAAUUAAAGUGUCUGAUUUGCGUUCAGAAGAUGUUGGAUGUAAUCUUGCAGUCUUUA